GAUAAAAGUAAGGGUCAGUGGACAGAAAAUUACUGAGUGGAAACACCAGGAAUAAGGGGAAUUCUACUUAAACUGACCUAAAAAGAUUCUUGCUAAAAACAGCCCAGUAUAAUCAGGGAUCCAAGCUGGCAUAGGCUUCACCAUCUUCAACACUGGCUUGCAAGGCUAACUCUGGCUGCUGACAUCUAGAGGCAGAUGUGGGAAGAGAGAUCCUGGUGGAUGUAUGAUUUUUGGAAGAGCUCCAGCCUUUGCCUCGGCCUGUGGGCAGCGGUAGUCCAGGAGUUAGUUUAUUCCGCCUUGCCUUCCAGAGAGCUUCCAGGCUUUCGACCUCGGACCAGGGUUGGCGUCUGCUCUUAACGAGGAAGCUGCCCCACCUACUAUCAAGCAGGACACCCAGAGAGAGGGGCUUCAGAAUCAGAGAGAAGUGAAUGAGAAUCUGGUGUUGUGACAAGUGUGUGGCAUGGGAUCAAUGAUCUGUCUCAGUAGGGCCUUCAGGUUGGCAACCAUGGACCAGAGCUGACUGCCAAAGCCCACAGAGCCCCAGUCAUAUUCAUCUCAGCCAGGAAAUGCACGACCAGACAAAGGAGAUGUCCCUCAACACCAGACGAGAACCAGAGCAGCCUUGAAGCUCUAACCAUACCUCCGUUCCUGGAGAGAAUAUGUCCCACAACACAUAUUGAGAACUAUCCAGAUCGCGCAGGCUUUUCUUACUGCUAUUCUGAAGCUCAUCUUCAUCCAAAGACUUGGGCUGCAUUUGUACCAGGGAUUGAACUCAGGACCUUGUGCUUGUGAGGCAGGCACAGAGCCACUGGGCUACAUCCCUGGCCCGACUAAGCUUAAUCAUUUCUAA
ensembl:lncRNA